GGGAAAAGGCUAGGAGAUGUUAUGUAUGUUGGAGUAUGCUACUGUCAUGUAUUGCCUGUCUACCAAGGAACAAGCAGCAUUCCCCCCCCUUUGGAUGUGGAGUCAAUGAAGCAAUGGAAGGAUGGCAAAAUUCUGAACAUGAUGACAUCAGAUCACAUAACUUCCUUAAAUGUCAAUGAGAAGAUGUGGGCCGUUCAACUAUCGUACGCUAGCGGAAGCCAGUGCAAGGAUUCCAACUAGUGCAACGGGACUUGCCACCUCUCCUCCCUCCGUGAUUCUCCAAGUAUGCUGCAAAGAAGCCCCUAGAACAGUGCUUGGGGGAAGAAGCGGGGAGAUCAUACUGUCUUGUGAAAUUCUUGUGCUGACAGAACAAUCUCCUUAGCACUACAUUGAAUACAACCCUAUAUAUUUAGAUAUGUUAAUAUGGUUCUUUUACUCUCCAUAAUGUAAUGUAAGAAGAGCAAGCCAUAGAAGAAUGUUACCUUUCAAUGCACACAUGUAUGUCCUUUAAUUGAAGAGUUAUAACCCUUGCAUAUUUUUCACCAGUGUAUUUCUGUGAG